rnacentral:lncRNA from 1 species
UGUGAUAACCGCCCCACUCCCAAGAGAAACGGAGGGGGGGGGGCAAUACACCAUCGUGCAGGCGUUCGUAACGCCUGAUGGUGGGCGGUUACAACCGUCCGCCUUCCCCAGUGAUCGAGGCUACAAGAAGCCCCGAUCGGCUACCAUUUCACCACCGGUUCAUCCUCCUCCUCCACUGUUUGUCUCCCUCUCUCCCAACCCUCUCCGGUUGGCAGGACCUGGUGUUGAAACCGCGCCGCCGGAGCAGAAGGCCGCAUCGCCGGAGUAGGAGGCGGACGACCACCUUCA